AUACGUAGGUGGCGAGCGUUAUCCGGAUUUACUGGGUGUAAAGGGCGUGUAGGCGGGACUGCAAGUCAGAUGUGAAAUUUCUCGGCUCAACCGAGAUCGUGCAUUUGAAACUGUAGUUCUUGAGUGAUGGAGAGGCAGGCGGAAUUCCGUGUGUAGCGGUGAAAUGCGUAGAUAUACGGAGGAACACCAGUGGCGAAGGCGGCCUGCUGGACAUCAACUGACGCUGAGGCGCGAAAGCGUGGGGAGC
rnacentral:rRNA from 1 species